CAUGUUCUAAAGCAAAACCAAAGUAGGGAUUCAAGGGAGGCACCAUUCCUGAGUCUAGGUCUCGAGAAAGAUCUGUUUAGUGAAAUGGGAUUUACCCUCGGUGUUGGAGAUUCACAAUCUCCUGCUCUGGAUACUGGGAGGGCGAGACAAGAAGGAAGACAUCAUUCCAACCAGGCUUUCUCCUCCAGGCACUCAACGGGUACCAAGCGCCUUACCAUGAACCCCAUGGUGGGAAGGCCCCGCCACCCAAGGAAAUGGCCAAAAUGGUGCACGGGAUCCUUCUGCGGCCUGCGGCUCUGCAGGUGUGAAGCCUGAGGAAGGGACCUGAGCACAGGCAGCGCUAGUGAUAAUCAAGGGCAUCCUCCUCUUGAGCUUCUCAAUUUGUUGGAUUCCCGAAGCUGUCUGUUCGCAGGUUUUCUGUCUUAUACAAAUGUGAUCUGUAUCUCUCCUGUGUCUUCACCCAAGAAAUGAAAACAGCUAUUAAACAUACCUGGCCUGAAGACAGCCCCAAGGCAUUCUGUUAGAGGGAAUGGAAAGCUGCCCAACACAUCUGGUAUCCAGAGAAGCAUUUUCACAACUAAACUUGACCUGACCCAGCUGCACGGUGACUGGCUCCAGGAAGAUGGGGUGAACCAUCCCUCCUGGGACCCUGUGACAAAAGGCAGAGGCUCUUGGGCAAGGCUGCCAGGGGUCCUUACAAGUAGGGUCUGUGCAAACGACAUACUCAUUUGCUAGACUUUGUUCAAAGAUCUUUGGAAACUCUGCUAUUCAGUGCCAACAGCACGUGCUCAUCUGGCCUUCUGCUUGCCCGUCUGCAGCAGUUCCUGCGACCUGUGAGGUGUGCGAGCAUCCACAGGACUGUGCAACAGCAACGGCCUAGGCCUCUGCAGAACCUCAAGGGCGCUCGGGUGCUGGGGAGUUUGGCGUGCUCAGGCUUUGAGGUGUGUCACUCCCAGGACAAACCAGAACCACAGGAGACAAGAUCUGCACUGUGAACAUUCACUGGCCACCAAGGGCCAAGUGGGCCCAGCCCCAGGAGAAGUGGCAGGUGCGGCUGAACUGAGGGGGCACUUACAGAGUGAUGAUGCGGGAACGGGCCAAACUGGUGAUGGGGGUACAGGCUGGAGAAGUAUCCGGAGUGGGUCUGCAGUAUGAGAGAAAGAGUCAGUGGGCGGGUGCCCUCAGGGACUGUCACUGGCCUCAGGGAGGCCAGAUUCCCCACAUGCGACACAGGCUCUCUGUGGCAUCAGCUGGCUCCACUGUCGUGUCUACACGCCUGUC
rnacentral:lncRNA from 1 species